rnacentral:rRNA from 1 species
AUACGGAGGGUGCAAGCGUUACUCGGAAUCACUGGGCGUAAAGCGCGCGCAGGCGGCUUGAUAAGUUGGAUGUGAAAGCCUACGGCUCAACCGUAGAACUGCAUCCAAAACUGUCAAGCUAGAGUCUGGGAGGGGAAGAUGGAAUUAGUUGUGUAGGAGUAAAAUCCGUAGAGAUAACUAGGAAUACCAAAAGCGAAGGCGAUCUUCUGAAACAGUACAGACGCUGAGGCGCGAAAGCGUGGGGAGCACACAGGAUUAGAAACCCCUGUAGUCC